rnacentral:rRNA from 1 species
GAUGAACGCUAGCGACAGGCCUAACACAUGCAAGUCGAGGGGUAACGGAAGUAGCUUGCUACUAGACGACGACCGGCGCACGGGUGAGUAACGCGUAUGUAACCUACCUCUAACAGGGGAAUAGCCCUAAGAAAUUGGGAUUAAUGCCCCAUAAUAUUAUGAAUCUGCAUGGAUUUAUAAUUAAAGUUCCGGCGGUUAGAGAUGGACAUGCGUAGUAUUAGCUAGUUGGUGAGGUAACGGCUCACCAAGGCUUCGAUACUUAGGGGUUCUGAGAGGAUUGUCCCCCACACUGGUACUGAGACACGGACCAGACUCCUACGGGAGCAGCAGUGAGGAAUAUGGUCAAUGGACGCAAGUCUG